rnacentral:rRNA from 1 species
UACGUAGGGUGCGAGCGUUAAUCGGAAUUACUGGGCGUAAAGCGCACGCAGGCGGUUGGUUAAGUCAGAUGUGAAAGCCCCGGGCUCAACCUGGGAAUUGCAUUUGAAACUGGCCAACUAGAGUACGUGAGAGGGGGGUAGAAUUCCAAGUGUAGCGGUGAAAUGCGUAGAGAUUUGGAGGAAUACCAGUGGCGAAGGCGGCCCCCUAGCACGAUACUGACGCUCAGGUGCGAAAGAGUGGGGAGCAAACAGG